AUGUGUGUGUGUGUGUGUGUGUGUGUGUGUGUGUGUGUGUGUGUUCUUGACCAGCGUAUCUUUGAAAAUCAACUGUCACUGUGCUUCCUGCCUGUAAUCAUUUCCCUAGUUUCCUUUCUGACUUUUUAAAAUCGAUGGUGACCUCUGCUUAUGAGUCAUGAGUGAUCUGUUCGUGGUAGGCCCCUGAGGACCUCACUCUCCACUCCUGUUUCAGGCAUGGGGCGGCUGGUUCUGCUGCGGGGAGCUGCCGUCUUUCUGCUGGGAGGCUGGAUGGCUUUGGGGCAAGGAGGAGCAGCAGAAGGAGUACAGAUUCAGAUCAUCUACUUCAAUUUAGAAACCGUGCAGGUGACAUGGAAUGCCAGCAAAUACUCCAGGACCAACCUGACUUUCCACUACAGAUUCGACGGUGAUGAGGCCUAUGACCAGUGCACCAACUACCUUCUCCAGGAAGGUCACACUUCGGGGUGCCUCCUAGACGCAGAGCAGCGAGACGACAUUCUCUAUUUCUCCAUCAGGAAUGGGACGCACCCCGUUUUCACCGCAAGUCGCUGGAUGGUUUAUUACCGUAAGUAUUGUAAAGCCAGCUCACCAUGCUUUUCAGUACUUCCUUCAGCUUAUUACCACAAGGACUGAAAACCAAGCUCAUGCAAAUCGCCGGAUCCAUCAUUACCAUUGACUAUUCAGAAGCAAGAUCACCAUGCCUUUCAGUACUUCCUGCAGCUUAUUACUGUAAGUAACGAAAAACCAAGCUCCAGCCAGUCGCGGGAUCAAUGAUUCCCGUAACUAUUGAAAAGGAAGCUCAACAUAGUUUUCAGUACUUCCUUCAGCUUAUUACCGUAAGUACUGAAAAGCUCAUGCAAAUCGCCGGAUCCAUGAUUACCGUAAUAAUUGAAAAAGCAAGCUCUGAAUGCUUUUCAGUACGUCUUUCAGCUUGUUACCGUAAGUAAUGAAAAGCAAGCUCAUGCCAGUCGCGGGAUCCCUGAUUACCGUAACAAUUGAAAAGCAAGCUGAGCACGCUUUUUAGUACUUCCUUCAGCUUAUUACCAUAAAUACUAAAAAGCUCAUGCAAAUUACCGGAUCCACGAUUACCGCAGCUAUUGAAAAGCAAGGUCACCAUGCUUUUCAUACUUCCUUUAGCUUAUGACCAUAAGUACUGAAAAGCAAGCUCUAGCAAGUCGCAGGAUCAGUGAUUCCCGUAACUAUUGAAAGGCAGCCCAGCAUCCUUUUCACUACUUCCUUCAGCUUAUUGCCAUAAAUACAAAAGCUCAUGCAAAUAACCGGAUCCAUGAUUACCGUAACUAUUGAAAAGCAAACUCACCAUGCUUUUCAGU
rnacentral:lncRNA from 1 species